rnacentral:lncRNA from 1 species
GUUCGCGACUUCCUUCUAUAUAAACUCAAGUCGUUUAUCUAGGCAAAUUGUUUAUAUAUUUAUUCUUAUCUUUCUGUUAUGACAAUAACAAAUGUGUUUUUGUUCAAUUUAAAAAUAAAUUCUAUUAUUACAAAAACCCUGGCAGUUCCAAAAAUAGGAAGUUCCUUUCAAUUCCAACUAUGCAAAAUCAUUUCCCGGAUUUGAGCAUCGUCAAUCCUAAACUACCGCAUUCAACAGACUUGAAAGUUAUUGCGCACAACGGCAUACAUUAAGAUGACAUGUACUAAACAUGUACUUUGUCGUGUGAAGAU